rnacentral:rRNA from 1 species
UACGUAGGUGGCAAGCGUUGUCCGGAUUUACUGGGCGUAAAGGGCGUGCAGGCGGUUUGUUAAGUGCAGGGUGAAAGCUCCCGGCUCAACUGGGAGAGGUCCUUGCAUACUGGCAAACUCGAGGGAGGCAGAGGAAAGUGGAAUUCCCGGUGUAGUGGUGAUAUGCGUAGAUAUCGGGAGGAACACCUGUGGCGAAGGCGGCUGUCUGGGCCUUACCUGACGCUGAGACGCGAAAGCGUGGGGAGCGAACAGG